CUACCCGGGUAUCUAAUCCUGUUUGCUACCCACGCUUUCGUUCCUCAGCGUCAGUUGUUUCCCAGAGACCCGCCUUCGCCACCGGUGUUCCUCCUGAUAUCUGCGCAUUUCACCGCUACACCAGGAAUUCCAGUCUCCCCUGAAACACUCAAGUCUGCCCGUAUCGCCUGCAAGCCCGAAGUUGAGCCCCGGGUUUUCACAAACGACGCGACAAACCGCCUACGAACUCUUUACGCCCAGUAAUUCCGGACAACGCUCGCACCCUACGUAUUACCGCGGCUGCUGGCAC
rnacentral:rRNA from 1 species